UAGGGGCGUCGGGGUUCGGCUCCCCUCCCCAAAUCUAGGGUGACUCUUAAGGUGGAGGGGAC
rnacentral:ncRNA from 1 species